UACGGAGGGAGCUAGCGUUGUUCGGAAUUACUGGGCGUAAAGCGCACGUAGGCGGCUUUUUAAGUCAGGGGUGAAAUCCCGGGGCUCAACCCCGGAACUGCCCUUGAAACUGGAGAGCUAGAAUCUUGGAGAGGCGAGUGGAAUUCCGAGUGUAGAGGUGAAAUUCGUAGAUAUUCGGAAGAACACCAGUGGCGAAGGCGACUUACUGGACACAUAUUGACGCUGAGGUGCGGAAGCGUGGGGAGCAAACAGG
rnacentral:rRNA from 1 species